rnacentral:misc_RNA from 1 species
AACAAGGCGUACCUGCGGACCUGCGGAGGGAUCAUUAUUGAAUUAUGAUUCUAGAUGGGUUGUAGCUGGCUCUUUGGAGUAUGUGCACACCUGUCUGGACUUCAUUUUCAUCCACCUGUGCACCUAUUGUAGUCUUUGUCAGGUAUUUGAGGAAGUGGUCAGCCUAUCAGCACUUGCUGGAUGUGAGGGCUUUGCAGUGUGAAAGCAUUGCUGUCCUUUACUUGGCCAUGGAGUCUCUUU